rnacentral:tRNA from 1 species
GUGACUAUGGCGGAAUUGGUAGACGCGCUAGUUUCAGACGCUAGUGAGGCAACUCGUGGAAGUUCAAGUCUUCUUAGUCACACCA